rnacentral:rRNA from 1 species
CUGCUGCCUCCCGUAGGAGUCUGGGCCGUGUCUCAGUCCCAGUGUGGCUGGUCGUCCUCUCAGACCAGCUACUGAUCGUUGCUUUGGUGAGCCGUUACCUCACCAACCGGCUAAUCAGUCAUCGGCCGCUCCGCUCGCGAGAGGCCCUUGCGGGUCCCCCUCUUUCUUCCGUAGAACUCAUGCGGUAUUAGCCAACCUUUCGGCUGGUUGUCCCCCACGAGCGGACACGUUCCGAUGUAUUACUCACCCGUUCG